rnacentral:rRNA from 1 species
GGUGAACGCUGGCGGCGUGCUCAAGACAUGCAAGUCGAACGGCAGUCUUCGGAUUGUAGUGGCGCACGGGUGAGUAACGCGUAACUGACCUACCCCAAAGUCGCGGAUAACGAUUCGAAAGAAUCGCUAAUACGUGAUGUGCUGUCAGAUUGUGUUCUGCCAGUAAAGAUUGAUUGCUUUGGGAUGGGGUUGCGUUCCAUCAGCUAGUUGGUGGGGUAAAGGCCCACCAAGGCGACGACGGAUAGCCGGCCUGAGAGGGUGGCCGGCCACAGGGGCACUGAGAAACGGGUCCCACUCCUACGGGAGGCAGCAGUUAGGAAUCUUCCACAAUGGGCGAAAGCCUGAUGGGGCGACGCCGCGUGAGGGAUGAAGGUCUUCGGAUCGUAAACCUCUGAAUCAGGGACGAAAGACACUUCGGUGGGAUGACGGUACCUGAGUAAUAGCACCGGCUAACUCCGUGCCAGCCGCCGCGGUAA